UACGAGGACGACGCUGGCGGCGUGCCUAACACAUGCAAGUCGAACGGGGUGAAGAGCUUCGGCUUUUCACUUAGUGGCGAACGGGUGAGUAACGCGUGAGAAACCUGCCUUUCAGUGGGGGACAACAGUUGGAAAUUUGUGCUAAUACCGCAUAACGUAUAGAUGAGACAUCUUGUUUAUAUCAAAGAUUUAUCGCUGUGAGAUGAGCUCGCGUCUGAUUAGCUAGUUGGUGGGGUAACGGCCUACCAAGGCGACGAUCAGUAGCCGGACUGAGAGGUUGAACGGCCACAUUGGGACUGAGACACGGCCCAGACUCCUACGGGAGGCAGCAGUGGGGGAUAUUGCACAAUGGGGGAAACCCUGAUGCAGCAACGCCGCGUGAAGGAAGAAGGUCUUCGGAUUGUAAACUUCUGUUUUUAGUGAAGAAACAAAUGACGGUAGCUAAAGAGGAAGCCACGGCUAACUACGUG
rnacentral:rRNA from 1 species